CCACUGCUGCCGCCGCUGCUGCUGCCUGCACUUGUUGCUGAAGAUCAGGCGGGUUGUGUUUGCGCAUAUGUUUCAUAAGGGCCCUCUGCUAAGAUGAGCCAAGGACUUGUGGGUGCAGUGACACCCGCUCCUCAUCAGCGACUUCAGAACCAUCUCUAAGACCAGGUGCUUUUCGGGACCUCUGGUAUAAAAUCUCAAAAACAUCACAGGACGUGUCUCUUAUUUGUGAGGAAAGCCUGACUCCUCCUCUUCUCAAAGCAAGAUGUCUGAUCACUUUAAGGUGAGAUCAUCACAUCCACAAGAAGCCGGGUGAGACGGUCUAUGGCCUGUAAGUCUGGACUCCAGUUCAACUUGAGAUAGCACCAAAGAUCAUCACUUCUUCUAGUUGGCAGGUUCCCUUCUUCCUAGUCACUCCAGAUUCACGGGAUAAACACUGGGCAUCUUUAUGAAGCAUGAGCGUUUUCAUUUUCUGUUUGCUGAUUCUCUCUGAACAUUUAGUACGUGUUUUCUUUUGUUCUCUACUCUUGGUAUCCCUCAGAGCCUUGCUUGUUGCUGUGGGUGUCACCAGGCUGGUGCCCAGCUAAUGUCUGAUUUUAUUUCCUGUUCAUAAUUGGUGCCCUAAGGGCUAGAGGUACGGUCUUCUCCACUCAAAUGCCUCUGUUUUGCCAUCAAGGGGCAAAUCUUCCAAGAUGGGUACAUGAGUAUUUUCAGGGAGGAAAAUUAGAG
rnacentral:antisense_RNA from 1 species